rnacentral:piRNA from 1 species
CAAAGGAGGAUUUAGUAGUAAAUUA